rnacentral:rRNA from 1 species
GACGAACGCUGGCGGCGUGCUUAACACAUGCAAGUCGAACGGAAAGGCCCCUUUGGGGGUGCUCGAGUGGCGAACGGGUGAGUAACACGUGAGUAACCUGCCCUUGACUUCGGGAUAACUUCAGGAAACUGGGGCUAAUACCGGCUAGGAAUCCUUGCUGCAUGGUGGGGGUUGGAAAGCUUCGGCGGUUUUGGAUGGACUCGCGGCGUAUCAGCUUGUUGGUGGGGUAGUGGCUUACCAAGGCGUUGACGGGUAGCGGGCCUGAGAGGGCGACCGGCCACAUUGAGACUGAGAGACGGCCCAGACGCCGACGGGAGGCAGCAGGGGGGAAUAUUGCUCAAGGGGCGGAGGCCGGAUGCAGCAACGCCGCGGGCGGGAUGACGGCCUUCGGGUGGAAAACCGGGUGCAGCAGGGGCGAGGCUUGUGGUGACGGUACCUGCAGAAGAAGCACCGGCUAACUACGUG